rnacentral:rRNA from 1 species
GGGUUGUGAGGUUAAGCGACUAAGCGUACACGGUGGAUGCCCUGGCAGUCAGAGGCGAUGAAGGGCGUGCUAAUCUGCGAUAAGCGCCGGUAAGGUGAUAUGAACCGUUAUAACCGGCGAUACCCGAAUGGGGAAACCCAGUGUGAUUCGUCACACUAUCAUUAACUGAAUCCAUAGGUUAAUGAGGCGAACCGGGGGAACUGAAACAUCUAAGUACCCCGAGGAAAAGAAAUCAACCGAGAUUCCCCCAGUAGCGGCGAGCGAACGGGGAGGAGCCCAGAGCCUGAAUCAGCAUGUGUGUUAGUGGAAGCGUCUGGAAAGGCGCGCGAUACAGGGUGACAGCCCCGUACACAAAAGCGCAUGUGCUGUGAGCUCGAUGAGUAGGGCGGGACACGUGGUAUCCUGUCUGAAUAUGGGGGGACCAUCCUCCAAGGCUAAAUACUCCUGACUGACCGAUAGUGAACCAGUACCGUGAGGGAAAGGCGAAAAGAACCCCGGCGAGGGGAGUGAAAAAGAACCUGAAACCGUGUACGUACAAGCAGUGGGAGCACAGGUUUACCUGUGUGACUGCGUACCUUUUGUAUAAUGGGUCAGCGACUUAUAUUCUGUAGCAAGGUUAACCGAAUAGGGGAGCCGGAGGGAAACCGAGUCUUAAUUGGGCGUUAAGUUGCAGGGUAUAGACCCGAAACCCGGUGAUCUAGCCAUGGGCAGGUUGAAGGUUGGGUAACACUAACUGGAGGACCGAACCGACUAAUGUUGAAAAAUUAGCGGAUGACCUGUGGCUGGGGGUGAAAGGCCAAUCAAACCGGGAGAUAGCUGGUUCUCCCCGAAAGCUAUUUAGGUAGCGCCUCGUGAAUUCAUCUCCGGGGGUAGAGCACUGUUUCGGCUAGGGGGCCAUCCCGGCUUACCAACCCGAUGCAAACUGCGAAUACCGGAGAAUGUUAUCACGGGAGACACACGGCGGGUGCUAACGUCCGUCGUGAAGAGGGAAACAACCCAGACCGCCAGCUAAGGUCCCAAAGUCAUGGUUAAGUGGGAAACGAUGUGGGAAGGCCCAGACAGCCAGGAUGUUGGCUUAGAAGCAGCCAUCAUUUAAAGAAAGCGUAAUAGCUCACUGGUCGAGUCGGCCUGCGCGGAAGAUGUAACGGGGCUAAACCAUGCACCGAAGCUGCGGCAGCGANNGUUGGGUAGGGGAGCGUUCUGUAAGCCUGUGAAGGUGGCCUGUGAGGGUUGCUGGAGGUAUCAGAAGUGCGAAUGCUGACAUAAGUAACGAUAAAGCGGGUGAAAAGCCCGCUCGCCGGAAGACCAAGGGUUCCUGUCCAACGUUAAUCGGGGCAGGGUGAGUCGACCCCUAAGGCGAGGCCGAAAGGCGUAGUCGAUGGGAAACGGGUUAAUAUUCCCGUACUUGGUGUUACUGCGAAGGGGGGACGGAGAAGGCUAUGUUGGCCGGGCGACGGUUGUCCCGGUUUAAGCGUGUAGGUGUGUGUUCCAGGUAAAUCCGGUUCACUUUAACACUGAGGCGUGAUGACGAGGCACUACGGUGCUGAAGCAACAAAUGCCCUGCUUCCAGGAAAAGCCUCUAAGCAUCAGGUAACAUCAAAUCGUACCCCAAACCGACACAGGUGGUCAGGUAGAGAAUACCAAGGCGCUUGAGAGAACUCGGGUGAAGGAACUAGGCAAAAUGGUGCCGUAACUUCGGGAGAAGGCACGCUGACACGUAGGUGAAGUGAUUUACUCAUGGAGCUGAAGUCAGUCGAAGAUACCAGCUGGCUGCAACUGUUUAUUAAAAACACAGCACUGUGCAAACACGAAAGUGGACGUAUACGGUGUGACGCCUGCCCGGUGCCGGAAGGUUAAUUGAUGGGGUCAGCGCAAGCGAAGCUCCUGAUCGAAGCCCCGGUAAACGGCGGCCGUAACUAUAACGGUCCUAAGGUAGCGAAAUUCCUUGUCGGGUAAGUUCCGACCUGCACGAAUGGCGUAAUGAUGGCCAGGCUGUCUCCACCCGAGACUCAGUGAAAUUGAACUCGCUGUGAAGAUGCAGUGUACCCGCGGCAAGACGGAAAGACCCCGUGAACCUUUACUAUAGCUUGACACUGAACAUUGAGCCUUGAUGUGUAGGAUAGGUGGGAGGCUUUGAAGCGUGGACGCCAGUCUGCGUGGAGCCGACCUUGAAAUACCACCCUUUAAUGUUUGAUGUUCUAACGUGGACCCGUAAUCCGGGUUGCGGACAGUGUCUGGUGGGUAGUUUGACUGGGGCGGUCUCCUCCUAAAGAGUAACGGAGGAGCACGAAGGUUGGCUAAUCCUGGUCGGACAUCAGGAGGUUAGUGCAAUGGCAUAAGCCAGCUUGACUGCGAGCGUGACGGCGCGAGCAGGUGCGAAAGCAGGUCAUAGUGAUCCGGUGGUUCUGAAUGGAAGGGCCAUCGCUCAACGGAUAAAAGGUACUCCGGGGAUAACAGGCUGAUACCGCCCAAGAGUUCAUAUCGACGGCGGUGUUUGGCACCUCGAUGUCGGCUCAUCACAUCCUGGGGCUGAAGUAGGUCCCAAGGGUAUGGCUGUUCGCCAUUUAAAGUGGUACGCGAGCUGGGUUUAGAACGUCGUGAGACAGUUCGGUCCCUAUCUGCCGUGGGCGCUGGAGAACUGAGGGGGGCUGCUCCUAGUACGAGAGGACCGGAGUGGACGCAUCACUGGUGUUCGGGUUGUCAUGCCAAUGGCACUGCCCGGUAGCUAAAUGCGGAAGAGAUAAGUGCUGAAAGCAUCUAAGCACGAAACUUGCCCCGAGAUGAGUUCUCCCUGAGACUU